rnacentral:rRNA from 1 species
ACGCUCGACACCUACGGGAGGCAGCAGUUAGGAAUAUUGGGCAAUGGAGGGAACUCUGACCCAGCAACGCCGCGUGAAGGAAGAAGGUUUUCGGAUUGUAAACUUCUGAUCUAAGGGAAGAAGAAAGUGACGGUACCUUAGGAGAAAGCCACGGCUAACUACGUGCCAACAGCCGCGGUAAUCUGAGCGGGCUGGCAAGGC